AGUUCAGACAAAGCCCUGUCACGAGAAAAGACUCAAGUCGUGACAGGAGAGAAGCACGGACGGUGACACAGUGAAACCCAGUGAAAGACAGUGUGUGUGACAGAGUGAAUUGACCGCGGUGGUGUGUCAAAACUGUUUCCUACUUGAGAAAUAUAUUUUAUUCAUUAAGAGACAAAAGGAAAAACCCAUUUGUCCCAGACUUUUGGCUAACUCUAUUUGAUCUUUAAGGGAAUUGGUAUUCAAGUGAGCCUUUUUGAAAAUUUUUGUUGCUCUUGGCCGGCUUUCCCUUUUGCAUAAAAAAAAAAAAAAAUCUUUAUUCACCGUAAGACAAAUGAUAAGAUGAUUGACGGACAAGAGUUACUGGGAUCAACAGUGACAACAGUGACAAAUCUUUAACUCUAUUCAAUCCAUAAUACCCGCCCGCCAGUAACAACGGUGUGGCAGCUCACAGGGCAUCAACAAGACCCAGAACACUGUGAAACAAGACGCUUUGUGGGUUAAACAGACUUCAGCGACUGGUCCACGGUACUCAAGGUCACAGCGUGAUACUCAAAGCCACAGCGUGAUACUCAAGGCCACAGCGCGGUACUCAAGGUCCCUGCGCGCUACUCAAUGCCACAGCGCGGUACUCAAGGUCACAGUGCGGUACUCAAGGUCACAGUGCGGUACUCAAGGCCACAGCGCGGUAAUCAAGGCCACAGCGCUGUACUCAAGACCACAGCGCGGUACUCAAGGCCACAGCGCGGUACUCCUGGCACACAGCGAGUGAACAUCAUCGCAAGAAGCAGCAAGGCGUGGGUGUGAUACUGACGCCCACAUGCAGCCACACACCCACCUCAACACCGCUCUCCACGACCCAGGUUUGACGGGCGCACCACCCACUAGCCACCCAACAACGCAGUCACCACCAGCCACCCACGGGCCACCCAGACAGAUCCCCGGUGUGACCUGCCAGGGUGACAGAGAACUGCAUGGAAGAUACCAAGACAUCGCAGGAGUGCAUCUGUCAUCGCUCAUCUGCCCGACAGUGCUUCUCCCUUAUCGUAGACACGACUUAUAAAAAGACACGCUUUAUUGUCGUUGACAUUUAAGAUUCAUGCUCUGAAAAGUGUAGCAGGAUUAGAAGAUUCAAAUUGUGAUCAACUCCAGCUUUAACCAGAAGUUUAACCAGGAGAUUACCAAACCAAGCCACAGCCAUGGCAGACCCCACAAAAACCCUGAAACAUGAAAAUAACACAAAUAUUGUGAGUAUCCCUAUAUUUUCUGGAGAGAGCAGCGACAUAAACUUGGACAGUUAUAUCGCCACAGUGGAAGCCUAUAUCGCCAACAAAGGAAUUAAGGACGACACACAGAAAAUUGAAGCAUUCAAGGCAAACAUUCAUCCCGACAAGGGCCGUGCUAGAUCCAUCAUCAAAUGCAGACAUUUUGUAGAGGACUUAAAGACAUAUCAGGAUUAUGUGAGUGAGUUCAGGGAACACUUCCCCCUUAAUAUCCCCUCAGGAUCAUGGUCAAGCACCUGGCUAUGACGAGGAAACCAGGCGAAGACACCACAGAAUAUUUAGUCUUUCUCAAAGCAAAUAGAAGACACUAUCAGGGGAACACCGUGGACCCACGCAAACAAUGCCACUCUAGUUCUAUUGCCUAUGAUGAGCAAAAUGCUCGCGAUGGCCCACAUAAUUAACGACAGCCAAGGGUCAGUAAGGGAAAAGUUGUAUGAAGAUCUAAACCACAAUAUACAUCUAAGCCAAAUUGACUAUAUGGUCAAAAAAUAUUUAGAAGACCCAGUAUGUGUCGCCAAGAAGACAACGAUCUCCUCCAUCCCGGCACACUAGAGCCAGGACUCCAGCCACCAGUAAGACACACGCGCUCGCUAAGAACCUGAAGCCAUUCAAAACACAGAAGGUUACUCCAGUGUUACACUUGCCGCAGAAUGGGACAUCUGGCGAAGGAUUGCUUCUCACAAGCAAUCUGCGAGAACUGCCAAUGUCAAGGACACCUGGAGAAUAUGUGUAGGAAUCCUCCUUGGUGUGUCUACCACCAGGGGAUGGGGCACCGUACUACAGACUGUAGACGGGAAUCUGCAGGACACACUAAAUUUUCACCAGGCUUCCUACCUGUAGGUAGGGAACAGCCUUGCAGACAGCCCCCUCAGCAACAGCCGCAGCAGCAACAGUAGGAACACAAACUGUGUCUCCCGCACACCCAACACCUUCUCGGACAAGCAAACGGCCGCGUGAAAUGGGUCUGGACUGUGUCAGAUCUCACUGUACACACACCCGCAUUAGUGGGGGGCCUUAUGUAGAAAAUUGGUAAGAAUUGUGCAUUUUGGGUUAAAAGCAUGAAAAUUGGCUUGAAGGUAGCUUUAUACAUACUUUUAAGAUUUAGAUAUAGUGCCAUCUCAGAUUUGUCCCGUAAGUCCCAUUUUUCAAGAUGGCCGCCAAAUAUGUCAAAUUAUGUAUUUUAUGGUUAUACAGCAAUUAUUUCCUAUUUUAUACCCAGUAUGUAACGAAAUGCUAUGUAAACCCAAUUUCUACUUAUAUAAGUAUGCCUACAAACCAUAAAUAUGCAAAACUCUGAAGUUUCAUCACCAAUUAGGCCUAAUUACCAUAAUUUAUUCAUAAAACUUGCGAAAACGUUGAUUUGUGAUGUGAAUUUCUAAUAUAUACAGUAUCAAGAAUUUGUGAAAACCAGACUGCAGGACAAGACUGUCAGUAUUUGAUCCAAUUCACAAGAAUAAGUUUCCACUAUUUAAAUCUCCUCAGAAGAAGGCACCAUCAAAGCUGCAUCAACAAAUUAAAGUAGCAAAGAAAGAUGUGAGAGUCUUUUCAGACCUCUAUGUGUCCUGCCAGGUCAGACAGGGAGAUAUAGCAACCUUCUUUGCUCAUGAAAACCAGACCAAGCCACCCGCAUUAGUGGCCCCUGGAGACAAACAGUCAACCAAAUCAGAUAUCAUGGAGGUCUUGGAAAGCCUAAUUGAACCUAGUCUACUGUUGCCAGCACAGCCUAUGUUUUAGAUGGACCAGCCAUCAUUCAUAUGCUGAUCCCAAACCUCAGUUGUAAAACCUUUGGAGACUAUGCCAAGUUAGUGUUCCAACAUUAUGUACAGGAGCUACUGGAGAGUUCAAAUCGGGUUGACAUUGUUUGGGAUGAUUAUCUUGAACAUAGUCUGAAAUAGGCAACUCGAGAAAAUCGAGGAACAGGUCAGCGUAGGAAAGUGAUGGAAAACACUGUGCUGCCUUCAAACUGGGUCUCCUUUCUAAAUGUUCCGGAGAACAAAAAGGAACUUUUCCAGCUCCUUUCUGAAUAUGCAAAAAGUAUGCACAUUCCUGAGGGCAAACAGGUUUUUGCAACAUCUGGCAGAAAAGUCCUCAGCAAACCAGCUGGUCUUGACAUCAGUGAUAUGUCACCUUGUUCUCAUGAAGAAGCCGACACACGGAUUUUUGUGCAUUACAAGGAUGCAGUUGACAAGGGUCACCAGUCUGUUAAAGUUCGAACAGUAGACGGUGAUGUUGUAGUAAUUGGGGUAGCAGUGGCUUCUUUCAUGAAUGCUGACAUGUGGAUCGUAUAUGGAACUGGUGACCAUCGACGUAUCAUUCCAGCUCACAGCAUUGCACAGGCACUUGGUCCAGUCAAAGCUAAGUGUCUGCCUGCCUUCCAUGCCUUUACAGGCUGUGAUACUGUGCCAUCGUUCCAGUUGAAAGGAAAAAAAGUCAUUCUGGAAAGCCUGGGAAUCUUUUGAUGGUGUGACUGAAUCAUUCCAGUCAUUACAGGACAGUCCUGGUCUGUUUCCAGAGGAGAUCGUCAGAAAUCUGGAGAGAUUUGUUAUUCUUGUAUAUGACAAGAACAGUGUAGAUGUUGAUGUGAAUGCAGCAAGAAGGAAUCUGUACUCCAGGAAAAACAAGGCAAUUGAAAAUAUCCCCCCAACCAAAGCAGCUCUUGUGCAGCAAGCAAAAAGAGCAACAUAUCAAGGUGGCCAUGUUUGGGGUAAUUGUUUGAUCUGCAUGCCAAAUCUGCCUUGUCCCUCAGAGUGGGGAUGGAAGAAAAAUGAAGCUGGGGUAUCAUUGUGGACAGCUUUAGCAGAUGUACCCCAGGUUUGCUUGGAGUUGAAGAGAUGUGGUUGUAAAACGGGAUGCAAAACAAAAAGAUGUACCUGCAAAGGACUGAACUUGAAGUGCACAGGUUUUUGCACCUGCAAUGGAAAUUGUUAUAAAACAUAAAUGACUCAUUUGUAUCAACUGAGAGAUUUGAAUUUUUCUAUUAAGAUAUUGCAAAGAACUUUCAUAUCAGAGUGAUUUUACCUUUACGGUUUAUUUUCCUUAGAUAAGAUUGUUGAGAUAUGAUAGGAGCCAAAUUGAUAUUUUGAAUACAUAAAUCAUUGAAUGUAAUUUUGUAAACCUAAAAGAUCUUUAAUUUGACUAAAAAUAUCAAAAUCGAUUGUCAAUAUCCUAAAGAUAAGAAGAUGAGAUUGGAUAGUUAUAUUUUUAUCAAUUAGAAGUUAUGAAAUUGGGUUUAGUGUUUCCAAGGUACAUAUCAUUUUCAUUUGUCUUGAUUAUUGUUGCUCAGAAAGCAAUCUAGAGUGAAUAUUGAUAUUUUUCAACAUGUUUCCUUUUUCACAUUAUUAAAUGGAGCUUAUUCAAUUUUGUUAACCAUUAGCAGUCUGUUUAUUUUUAAGAUUUAAGAUUUGUUUUUUUACAAAACAUUAACUUUGUAAAAUAACUUACCAAAUCAAUGGAUUGUACAUUUAACAUUUAUAGUUUCGAAUACAAUU
rnacentral:lncRNA from 1 species